UACGUAGGGUGCUAGCGUUAUCCGGAAUUAUUGGGCGUAAAGCGCGCGCAGGUGGUCUUUUAAGUCUGAUGUGAAAGCCCCCGGCUCAACCGGGGAGGGUCAUUGGAAACUGGAAGACUUGAGUGCAGGAGAGGAAAGUGGAAUUCUCAGUGUAGCGGUGAAAUGCGUAGAUAUUGAGAAGAACACCAGUAGCGAAGGCGGCUUUCUGGACUGUAACUGACACUGAGGCACGAAAGCGUGGGUAGCAAACAGG
rnacentral:rRNA from 1 species